GGAAGAAGAAGGAGAAGAAGAAGAGGAAGAGGAAGAAGAA
rnacentral:sRNA from 1 species